GGUGAUGUGGCGGUUAAGGCUUUGGCUUACUGAUCAGAAGGUCGGGGGUUCAAUCCCCAGCAUUGCCA